rnacentral:pre_miRNA from 1 species
UUUUUAGUUUAAGUAUAUUCCAUUCAAUAUUUGGAACAUACUUACACUAAAA